UACAGGGGGUGCAAACGUUGCUCGGAAUCAUUGGGCGUAAAGAGCUCGUAGGCGGUUUGUCGCGUCUGCUGUGAAAACGCGAGGCUCAACCUCGCGCCUGCAGUGGGUACGGGCAGACUAGAGUGCGGUAGGGGAGAUUGGAAUUCCUGGUGUAGCGGUGGAAUGCGCAGAUAUCGGGAGGAACACCGGUGGCGAAGGCGGUUCUCUGGGCCUUACCUGACGCUGAGGAGCGAAAGCGUGGGGAGCGAACAGG
rnacentral:rRNA from 1 species